rnacentral:rRNA from 1 species
UGCUUAACACAUGCAAGUCGUACGAGAAAUCCUUAGCUUGCUAGGGAGAGUAAAGUGGCGCACGGGUGAGUAUCGCGUGGGUAAUCUACCCUUGAAUUCAGGAUAACACUUCGAAGGGGGUGCUAAUACUGGAUAACAUCUUUUUGGUUUCGGCCGGAGGGAUCAAAGAUAGCCUCUACAUGUAAGCUAUUGUUUGGGGAUGAGCCCGCGUACCAUUAGCUAGUUGGUGGGGUAAGAGCCUACCAAGGCAACGAUGGUUAGCUGGUCUGAGAGGAUGAUCAGCCACACUGGAACUGAAACACGGUCCAGACUCCUACGGGAGGCAGCAGUGAGGAAUUUUGCGCAAUGGGGGAAACCCUGACGCAGCAACGCCGCGUGGGGGAUGAAGGUCUUCGAUUUAUAAACCCC